GUACACUCCUGCGGGAGGCAGCAGUGGGGAAUUUUGGACAAUGGGCGAAAGCCUGAUCCAGCAAUGCCGCGUGAGUGAAGAAGGCCUUCGGGUUGUAAAGCUCUUUUGUCAGGGAAGAAACGGUGAAAGCUAAUAUCUUUUGCUAAUGACGGUACCUGAAGAAUAAGCACCGGCUAACUACGUGCCAGCAGCCGCGGUAAUACGUAGGGUGCAAGCGUUAAUCGGAAUUACUGGGCGUAAAUCGUGCGCAGGCGGUUUUGUAAGUCUGAUGUGAAAUCCCCGGGCUCAACCUGGGAAUUGCAUUGGAGACUGCAAGGCUAGAAUCUGGCAGAGGGGGGUAGAAUUCCACGUGUAGCAGUGAAAUGCGUAGAUAUGUGGAGGAACACCGAUGGCGAAGGCAGCCCCCUGGGUCAAGAUUGACGCUCAUGCACGAAAGCGUGGGGAGCAAACAGGAUUAGAUACCCCUGUAGUCCCA
rnacentral:rRNA from 1 species